ACGCUCGACACCUACGGGAAGCAGCAGUGGGGAAUAUUGCACAAUGGGGGAAACCCUGAUGCAGCGACGCCGCGUGAGUGAAGAAGUAUCUCGGUAUGUAAACUUCUAUCAGCAGGGAAGAAAAUGACGGUAUCUGACUAAGAAGCCCCGGCUAACUACGUGCUAGCAGCCGCGGUAAUCUGAGCGGGCUGGCAAGGC
rnacentral:rRNA from 1 species